CCCGACUCCUACGGGAGGCAGCAGUAAGGAAUAUUGGUCAAUGGACGCAAGUCUGAACCAGCCAUGCCGCGUGGAGGAUGAAGGCCCUCUGGGUUGUAAACUUCUUUUACUGGGGAAGAAACCCAUCUUUUCUAAGGUGGUUGACGGUACCCGAUGAAUAAGCACCGGCUAACUCCGUGCCAGCAGCCGCGGUAAUACGGAGGGUGCAAGCGUUAUCCGGAUUCACUGGGUUUAAAGGGUGCGUAGGUGGGCAGGUAAGUCAGUGGUGAAAUCUCCGGGCUUAACCCGGAAACUGCCGUUGAUACUAUUUGUCUUGAAUGUAGUGGAGGUGAGCGGAAUAUGUCAUGUAGCGGUGAAAUGCUUAGAUAUGACAUAGAACACCAAUUGCGAAGGCAGCUCGCUACACUAUUAUUGACACUGAGGCACGAAAGCGUGGGGAUCAAACAGGAUUAGAUACCCUGGUAGUCCACGCCCUAAACGAUGGAUACUCGACAUCAGCGAUACACAGUUGGUGUCUGAGCGAAAGCAUUAAGUAUCCCACCUGGGAAGUACGACCGCAAGG
rnacentral:rRNA from 1 species